rnacentral:lncRNA from 1 species
UGUGUUAGGGGUGUAUUUGGAGAAGAUGACAUUGUAUAGGGUUAUGUUGGGAUUUAUGUUAGGGUUUGGUUCAAAUGAGAUCCAAAUGAGGGAUUGAUCUCUUGUAACCCUAAUUAAUAGGUUUUCUGACGCGUUGGUGAACUCGGUUCGGCGAUCCGACGAGUGUACGCCGAGAUAUUGAGGAAAAAGCCUGUUUUGGCUUCGUUUUGUCGUAGCGAGCGGCGUAGGCGUCUAAAAAUCGCGAGAAUUGAAUCGUAGCAU